GACGGGUGAGUAAUGUCUGGGAAACUGCCUGAUGGAGGGGGAUAACUACUGGAAACGGUAGCUAAUACCGCAUAACGUCGCAAGACCAAAGAGGGGGACCUUCGGGCCUCUUGCCAUCGGAUGUGCCCAGAUGGGAUUAGCUUGUUGGUGGGGUAACGGCUCACCAAGGCGACGAUCCCUAGCUGGUCUGAGAGGAUGACCAGCCACACUGGAACUGAGACACGGUCCAGACUCCUACGGGAGGCAGCAGUGGGGAAUAUUGCACAAUGGGCGCAAGCCUGAUGCAGCCAUGCCGCGUGUAUGAAGAAGGCCUUCGGGUUGUAAAGUACUUUCAGCGGGGAGGAAGGGAGUAAAGUUAAUACCUUUGCUCAUUGACGUUACCCGCAGAAGAAGCACCGGCUAACUCCGUGCCAGCAGCCGCGGUAAUACGGAGGGUGCAAGCGUUAAUCGGAAUUACUGGGCGUAAAGCGCACGCAGGCGGUUUGUUAAGUCAGAUGUGAAAUCCCCGGGCUCAACCUGGGAACUGCAUCUGAUACUGGCAAGCUUGAGUCUCGUAGAGGGGGGUAGAAUUCCAGGUGUAGCGGUGAAAUGCGUAGAGAUCUGGAGGAAUACCGGUGGCGAAGGCGGCCCCCUGGACGAAGACUGACGCUCAGGUGCGAAAGCGUGGGGAGCAAACAGGAUUAGAUACCCUGGUAGUCCACGCCGUAAACGAUGUCGACUUGGAGGUUGUGCCCUUGAGGCGUGGCUUCCGGAGCUAACGCGUUAAGUCGACCGCCUGGGGAGUACGGCCGCAAGGUUAAAACUCAAAUGAAUUGACGGGGGCCCGCACAAGCGGUGGAGCAUGUGGUUUAAUUCGAUGCAACGCGAAGAACCUUACCUGGUCUUGACAUCCACAGAACUUUCCAGAGAUGGAUUGGUGCCUUCGGGAACUGUGAGACAGGUGCUGCAUGGCUGUCGUCAGCUCGUGUUGUGAAAUGUUGGGUUAAGUCCCGCAACGAGCGCAACCCUUAUCCUUUGUUGCCAGCGGUCCGGCCGGGAACUCAAAGGAGACUGCCAGUGAUAAACUGGAGGAAGGUGGGGAUGACGUCAAGUCAUCAUGGCCCUUACGACCAGGGCUACACACGUGCUACAAUGGCGCAUACAAAGAGAAGCGACCUCGCGAGAGCAAGCGGACCUCAUAAAGUGCGUCGUAGUCCGGAUUGGAGUCUGCAACUCGACUCCAUGAAGUCGGAAUCGCUAGUAAUCGUGGAUCAGAAUGCCACGGUGAAUACGUUCCCGGGCCUUGUACACACCGCCCGUCACACCAUGGGAGUGGGUUGCAAAAGAAGUAGGUAGCUUAACCUUCGGGAGGGCGCUUACCACUUUGUGAUUCAUGACUGGGGUGAAGUCGUAACAAGGUAACCGUAGGGGAACCUGCGGUUGGAUCACCUCCUUACCUUAAAGAAGC
rnacentral:rRNA from 1 species